AACAACGAUUUGUUCGUUUUGUUCUGUUGAGGAAAGGUCGUAGUGGCUGGUUUUAUGAUAUAAUUGCUUGACGGUCUUAGAAAAGGUUUUAAAUGAGCAACGACAAUUAUAUUUGGCAAUUUGGUGUAAUAGUGAUUUUGGCUUUUUAAUUUUAUGGACGACUUAAAUCAGGAGCUUCACGGUGCCUAGCUGAUAAGGCGGUUAAACAUUCGUCGUUCGAAGCCGGCAGAAACGAGAGCUCGGAGGAACGUAAAGUGGUGCGUGAUAAAGCGAGGCUGCUUAUUUGCCGCUGAUUUUGCCGUGGCAAUGAAUGGGGUAGCGUGUGAUAAUGCUUGAGAGAUUGUUUGGAAAUGAAGGAUUUUCGACGAGGUAAAUUUUGCAUGGGACGAUAGUAUUGUCGAGCUGGUGGCUUUUUGCAAGAAAUAUCUUUGCUUAGGUUUUGUUAGGCACAAGCGUUGUUAAUAUAGAUUUAUGCACUUGUUUUUGAUAGAAAUCUCAAUUGUUGUCAAUUUUGAUGUAAUAGCAUUAAUCGAAUGGACAUGUUUUGAUUUAGUAGUCAUAUGCGUUAGGUAGAUGAAUAUGUUGCAAUGUAAUAGUCAUAUUGUUUAUUGCCUAUGCAAUUUAAUAUUUUAAUUUAACGGAUGAAUGUUUUAAUAUUGUGAUUUAAUAUUGCAAUUAGCUGCAGACUUUUCAAAGUCUUAUUGAAUAACUAGAUACUGGAAACAAGCCGGAGAAAACUAUGCCUCAGUUGAAGAAAGAUACUUUAAAAUAUAUUACGUCAUUUACGAUUACGUAUCUUUUAUUAUAAGCUUCAUAAAACAAUGUAUCAGAUGUAAGGAAGAAAAGAAUUCUGACUUUGUAUUUUUGUUCUUUAAUAGAGGAAAACUGACAGCACCUUUUCCAAUUUGUACGCGCUCGGCUUCGAAUUCAAUCAAGAGCUGACUAUUAAAAGUGUUUCAUUUCAUAUAUUAUUACCUAACACCCUAAGAAAUACACUUUUAUAGCAAACAUCAAAAAUUUCGCUACACGAUAAACGGUAUAACCUCCACCCUAACCACAUGUCAAAAAUCAACAACAACAAAAAAAAACCCCCAGAAAUUAAUUCCAAAACCUGACCAUCCAUCAAUCACGUAAGUAUCAUCAACCAUGGUCCCAAUAAAGAAGAAGCGUAUACCAGAUCAGAAGUACAUCAUAAGGCCAAUAACGUCCCCGGAAGAAAAAAGAUUCACAUACACAAAGGGAUACAUGUCGAGAAAGAGAAAGAAGGACGAAGAGAAUCUGUUCGUAAAGGGCAGCGGAUUCGAUGGGUGGAAGAAGCGAUAAGUGGAGGAACGAAAAAGGGUCUGGGUCGCGUGAAUCGAGGGCAAGAGUGGCGCAGUAAGAAGAAGCAAAAGCAGGUCAGAUGCAUCUCCUGCAUGGACGCAGGUCCUUUCGAGUUUAUUCGUCCAGGUCAGAAGAAUGGACCCCCGAAUCCUUUUCGUUGGUAAUUCAGGACGGGGCCCAGCUGCAAAAACCGUCGUCCCCCGUCGUCGAUGAUCACCGUGCGUUCUCUUACCCUCAGGAAAGGAUACCGUCUCUCUAUGGGGGGACAAAUCUUUUUUUAUAUCUUAGAUCCUGGCCGAUCAUUUUUUUACGAACCCUUUUACCAACGAUGCCAUCGGAGAAGGAGCGUUGCGCCCCUUCUUGCGCAACUGUCGCCUUCUUGUCUCUACGCUCUCUCCUUUCUUUAAUGGUUUCUAUCUCUGUUAAGGUUCGUUCGGGAUGAAUGGGUCAGAUCGAGGAAGAUCUCUCGUGGGUCAGAUCACGCGCAACACGUACGUGUGAAUUGUACUGCGAUUUUGAGAAUGGAAAAAUUGUUCUUUGAGGAUGGAGGAUGUUUAGAGGAUGAUUUGUUUCUCUUUGGAUUUCUCGCACUUUUUAAUCGAUGUUGUUUGAACCUUAGACAGUUAUGGCAUAUAUUAAAAAUAUUAUUGUAGUAUUAUUAAAUAUAUUACACAAAAGAACAAGAAAUAGAAUACAA